rnacentral:rRNA from 1 species
UACAGAGGUCCCAAGCGUUGUUCGGAUUUACUGGGCGUAAAGGGUGCGUAGGUGGCGGGGUAAGUCUGGUGUGAAAGCUCCGAGCUCAACUCGGAAAAGCAUUGGAAACUAUCCCGCUGGAGGGUCGGAGGGGAGACUGGAAUUCUCGGUGUAGCAGUGAAAUGCGCAGAUAUCAGGAGGAACACCGGUGGCGAAAGCGAUCCGCUGGACCUCUUCUGACGCUGAUGCGCGAAAGCCAGGGGAGCAAACGGG